rnacentral:rRNA from 1 species
GAUGAACGCUAGCGGCAGGCUUAAUACAUGCAAGUCGAGGGGCAGCAUGAGUGUAGCAAUACACUUGAUGGCGACCGGCAAACGGGUGCGGAACACGUACAGAACCUUCCUUCAAGCGGGGAAUAGCCCAGAGAAAUUUGGAUUAAUACCCCAUAGUAUUACGAAGUGGCAUCACUUUGUACUUAAAGAUUCAUCACUUGAAGAUGGCUGUGCGGCUGAUUAGGUAGUUGGCGGGGUAACGGCCCACCAAGCCUGCGAUCAGUAACUGGUGUAAGAGCACGACCAGUCACACGGGCACUGAGACACGGGCCCGACUCCUACGGGAGGCAGCAGUAAGGAAUAUUGGUCAAUGGACGAAAGUCUGAACCAGCCAUGCCGCGUGAAGGAUGAAGGUCCUCUGGAUUGUAAACUUCUUUUAUAUGGGACGAAAAAAGGGUUUUCUAACUCGUCUGACGGUACCAUAUGAAUAAGCACCGGCUAACUCCGUGCCAGCCGCCGCGGUAAAAC